CCUACGGGUGGCAGCAGUGAGGAAUAUUGGUCAAUUGCCGUAAGGCUGAACCAGCCAAGUCGCGUGAAGGACGAAGGAUCUAUGGUUUGUAAACUUCUUUUAUAGGGGAAUAAAGGUAUCCACGUGUGGAUAUUUGCAUGUACCCUAUGAAUAAGCAUCGGCUAACUCCGUGCCAGCAGCCGCGGUAAUACGGCGGAUUCGAGCGUUCUCCGGAUUUAUUGGGUUUAAAGGGUGCGUAGGUUGGUUUUUACGGCAGCGGUGAAAGUUUGUGGCUCAACCAUAAAAUUGCCGUUGAAACUGGAAGACUUGAGUGUGUUUGAGGUAUGCGGAAUGCGUGGUGUAGCGGUGAAAUGCUUAGAUAUCACGAAGAACUCCGAUUGCGAAGGCAGUUCACUGGACUGCAACUGACACUGAGGCUCGAAAGUGUGGGUAUCAAACAGGAUUAGAUACCCGUGUAGUC
rnacentral:rRNA from 1 species